UUUAAAAUUCUGCAGUUUGUAGAAUUUUGACCUCUUAGCUCUCGAAAACCUUCCAUAACACACUUUUACUCAUUUUAACACCUCCGUACUUUCCGAAGUGUACCAACCUCACACUUUCGUCAAUUUGACUAAAGUUCGAUAUUUAUUUACCGAAGCUUUUCGGUAUAUUACAUUCUCCACCCCUUAAAAUAAUUUCGUCCUCAAAAUUAACCAUACCAUAACUCGUUGACUCGAAUAAAUGCGGAUAGUUCCGCCG
rnacentral:lncRNA from 1 species